rnacentral:rRNA from 1 species
UGGGAACCUUCCCUAUGGUUCGGAAUAGCCCAGGGAAACUUGGGGUAAUACCGAAUAAGCCCUUCGGGGGAAAGAUUUAUCGCCAUUGGAUGGGCCCGCGUCGGAUUAGCUAGUUGGUGGGGUAACGGCCCACCAAGGCGACGAUCCGUAGCUGGUCUGAGAGGACGAUCAGCCACACUGGGACUGAGACACGGCCCAGACUCCUACGGGAGGCAG